rnacentral:rRNA from 1 species
GUCUACGGCCAUACCCUGAACUUGCCUGUGUGAUCUCAGAAGCUAAGCAGGGUCGGUCUUGGGUAGUACUAGGAUGGGAGACCACCUAGGAAGACCAGGUGCUGUAGGUG